rnacentral:lncRNA from 10 species
CUUGUUCUCCCACAUUUUUCGGAGGGCUGGAUGAUUACUUUAUUAAGAGAUGCAGGCAGCUGUGUUUGGCUUUCUCCUGGUAAUCUAGUCUCUCUUUCAUUUCAUCAGCACAGGUUUCUCAUUGUGAAGGGGCUCUUUCAUUGGGAUGUUGCAGGACGGGACUGUUUAUUGCUACACAUUAUGUAGCUGCCAUGGAUUUCAGACAGCAAAAGAGACUUCAGCACUACUGGACAUCCCCAUCACCACA